rnacentral:lncRNA from 1 species
GCCAACUGUUUGUACUGAAUGGCAAGAAUGUUCUAGUAAAUGUGUACCAAAAUGUGAAUUACUUUGUACGAUUACAGUCUCCACGUCGACCUAACAGACUAUUAUUGGUAUUAAUGUGCUUUUUUUGUAUAAAGUGCAAACAUUUCGUCCCAAAGUCUUAAGUACUUUAGUGCAGUAAAAUGUUGUUUCACGUCCUGUCAAGAAUUCGUAUAGUACGAGCCUGGAUCUGCGUGUCAAACUGUUCCAUUUGUUUAUGUAAAGUGAUAUUAAAAGAAGAUAUAAACUAUAAAUGUCCAUUGCUUUUGGCAAAAGAUACAACCACAUAAUGUAUAUAAUUCCUAGUUUCCAUAUUUAUCCGCAUGUAAAGGGCCGGUUUAUCCAUGUUACAGCUAUUCAAUAUUUAUGGCUAGAGAAACUCGUAUGUACACUUUAGUUUCCAGAACUGUUUGGUAACCUUUCGUACCUUAUUAAAGAUUCUUAAAUCUCAGUGAUGUGGUAGGAAUUUAUUCUUCAUAUUCCCCGCCCCACCCCCAACACCCCCAGCAACCUGCUGCCUCUUCUGC